GACGAACGCUGGCGGCGUGCUUAACACAUGCAAGUCGAACGGAAAGGCCCUGCUUGCAGGGUACUCGAGUGGCGAACGGGUGAGUAACACGUGGGUGAUCUGCCCUGCACUUCGGGAUAAGCCUGGGAAACUGGGUCUAAUACCGGACAGGUGCCAUAUUUAGUGUGAUGGUUGGAAAGUUUUUUCGGUGUAGGAUGAGCUCGCGGCCUAUCAGCUUGUUGGUGGGGUAAUGGCCUACCAAGGCGGCGACGGGUAGCCGGCCUGAGAGGGUGGACGGCCACAUUGGGACUGAGAGACGGCCCAGACUCCUACGGGAGGCAGCAGUGGGGAAGAUUGCACAAUGGGCGCAAGCCUGACGCAGCGACGCCGCGUGGGGGAUGACGGCCUUCGGGUUGUAAACUCCUUUCGCUAGGGACGAAGCUUUUUGUGACGGUACCUAGAUAAGAAGCACCGGCUAACUACGUG
rnacentral:rRNA from 1 species